AGGGUUUGAUCUGGCUCAGAUUGAACGCUGGCGAAAUGCUUUACACAUGCAAGUCGAACGGCAGCACGGACUUCGGUCUGGUGGCGAGUGGCGAACGGGUGAGUAAUGUAUCGGAACGUAUCCAGUAAUGGGGGAUAACUAAUCGAAAGGUUGGCUAAUACCGCAUACGCCCUACGGGGGAAAGCAGGGGAUCUUCGGACCUUGCGUUAAUGGAGCGGCCGAUAUCUGAUUAGCUAGUUGGUGAGGUAAGAGCUCACCAAGGCGACGAUCAGUAGCUGGUCUGAGAGGACGACCAGCCACACUGGAACUGAGACACGGUCCAGACUCCUACGGGAGGCAGCAGUGGGGAAUUUUGGACAAUGGGCGCAAGCCUGAUCCAGCCAUUCCGCGUGAGUGAAGAAGGCCUUCGGGUUGUAAAGCUCUUUCGCAAGGGAAGAAACGAUGCAGACGAAUAAUCUGUGUUAAUGACGGUACCUUGAUAAGAAGCACCGGCUAACUACGUGCCUGCAGCCGCGGUAAUACGUAGGGUGCAAGCGUUAAUCGGAAUUACUGGGCGUAAAGCGUGCGCA
rnacentral:rRNA from 1 species